rnacentral:rRNA from 1 species
AACGAACGCUGGCGGCAUGCCUAACACAUGCAAGUCGAACGAGACCUUCGGGUCUAGUGGCGCACGGGUGCGUAACGCGUGGGAACCUGCCCUUAGGUUCGGAAUAACUCCCCGAAAGGGGUGCUAAUACCGGAUAAUGUCUUCGGACCAAAGAUUUAUCGCCUGUGGAUGGGCCCGCGUUGGAUUAGCUAGUUGGUAGGGUAAAAGCCUACCAAGGCGACCAUCCAUAGCUGGUCUGAGAGGAUGAUCAGCCACACUGGGACUGAGACCCGGCCCAGACUCCUACGGGAGGCAGCAGUGGGGAAUAUUGGACAAUGGGCGAAAGCCUGAUCCAGCAAUGCCGCGUGAGUGAUGAAGGCCUUAGAGUUGUAAAGCUCUUUUACCCGGGAUGAUAAUGACAGUACCGGGAGAAUAAGCUCCGGCUAACUCCGUG